rnacentral:rRNA from 1 species
AUGGAGUUUAAGGUGGCAUCGAAGGCGGCCGCGUUGCCCGCGGCCUGGCACGGCACGAGCCAGGGAGCGCAGGGCCGGAGCAGCGUCGCCUUUGGAUCGGCGUGGAGGAAGGCGUCGUCGCGGCCGGCGCGGGCGCUGUUCGCUGCAACUAACAACUCCGCGCCGGUGGCCAGGGUGGAGAAACAGAGGAUAGAUCAAAGUCAAAUACUGACCUUGGACAGUGUCAGAACUUCGUUGAUUAGACUAGAAGACAGCAUCAUAUUCGGUCUCUUGGAGAGAGCACAGUAUUGUUAUAAUGCUGAUACAUAUGAUAGCAAUUCUUUCCAUGUGGAUGGAUUUGGCGGCUCUUUGGUUGAAUUCAUGGUUAGAGAAACUGAAAAGCUACAUGCAAAGGUUGGGAGAUACAAGAGCCCAGAUGAGCACCCAUUCUUUCCAGAAGAUCUGCCUGAGACACUGUUGCCGCCUAUCCAGUAUCCAACGGUUCUGCAUCCUAUUGCUGAUUCCAUUAAUAUCAACAAAGAGAUUUGGAAAAUGUACUUUGAUGAAGUUCUUCCAAGGCUAGUGAAAGAAGGAAGUGAUGGAAAUUCUGGAUCCAGUGCUCUUUGCGACACGACCUGCUUGCAGGCACUCUCUAAGAGAAUCCACUAUGGAAAGUUUGUGGCAGAGGCCAAGUUUCAAGAGUCCCCUGAAGAUUACACUCCUGCAAUAAAAGCUCAGGACGGCGCUCAACUAAUGCAGCUCCUCACCUACGAGACGGUCGAGCGUGCGAUCGAACAUCGGGUGGAAACCAAGGCCAAGAUAUUUGGACAGGAGGUGAACAUAGGAGCUGAAGCCAAGGGCAUGGCGCCUGUGUACAAGAUCAGGCCCAGCCUGGUCGCUGGACUGUACAGCAACAGGAUCAUGCCGCUGACCAAGGACGUCCAGAUAGCAUACUUGCUAAGGAGGCUGGACUGA